rnacentral:rRNA from 1 species
UACGUAGGUGGCAGGCGUUGUCCGGAUUUACUGGGCGUAAAGGAUGCGUAGGCGGACAUAUAAGUCAGAUGUGAAAUACCCGAGCUUAACUUGGGUGCUGCAUUUGAAACUGGGUGUCUAGAGUGCAGGAGAGGUAAGUGGAAUUCCUAGUGUAGCGGUGAAAUGCGUAGAGAUUAGGAAGAACACUAGUGGCGAAGGCGACUUACUGGACUGUAACUGACGCUGAGGCAUGAAAGCGUGGGGAGCAAACGGG